UACGUAGGGGGCAAGCGUUGUCCGGAAUUAUUGGGCGUAAAGAGCGCGUAGGCGGUCCGAUAAGUCGGCUGUGAAAGUCCAGGGCUCAACCCUGGAAAGCCGGCCGAUACUGUCGGACUAGAGUCCGGAAGAGGCAAGUGGAAUUCCCGGUGUAGCGGUGGAAUGCGCAGAUAUCAGGAAGAACACCACGGCGAAGGCAGCUCGCUGGGACGGUACUGACGCUGAGACGCGAAAGCGUGGGGAGCGAACAGG
rnacentral:rRNA from 1 species